UAAGUUCUGACAACUUUAUCUAAAGUACGCCAUGUGAAAAUGAACAAAAGAAGAAGAAAAGCCAAUAAGUUAAUGAUCUCUCUUUAACCUUUUCUUAAUUUUCACCAUGAAGAUCCCUUUUCUUUACACCAUGAAGAUCCCCCCGUAUUACUAAAGAUCCCACUCCAAUACGUAUCAUUACCAUGGCUCUUCUCUUGGGUUGUGCCCGAAAGCUCUUUCAUAUCUGAAAAAGGGAACAAAACCCUACUUGCUCCAUUCAUGUCAUCAGCAUGAUUAUUAUCUUCGGCUCUUUGGUUACUGUUGAUGGUGUUAUUUCCAAUCCCUUGAUGAUGAUCAAUGGAGAAUGAAAGGUUAUUGUUACUCUGUUUGUAAUCAGCCAUUGUUGGAAACGCUAAAGAUGAGUAAAGAACUAAGUUUGAAUCCAUCAUUUGACCUGGCAAGAACGUAUUUAUUCCUCUUGAAGAGACUCCAUUGGAUCUUAGAAGCUCGAGAGCUGAGACAGGAGAUGAUGAAGCGUAGAUUGAAGAUGAUGUAUUGGUGUUCCCGAUCUUGGGCAUAUGAAGAAACUGAGACAUACCAUGAUGAUGUUCUUGCAUGACCAGGAAAGACAAUAAGUUGAGAUCUUUUGACGCCUUAUUAGGGAUUUGGCUUGAGAAAAUAAUUGGUGGGUUUAGAUCUAGAAGCUUGGGUUUCGAAGGUGAAGCUAGACGUGUUGAGGAUCUCUUGUUCUUUCUUUCACUACAAGGGAAGUGGGUAAAGAUAGCAUAAGAAGAUAGCGUUUUGUAUGUGAAUGCUAUGUUUGGCAUGACCCGUAAUUUAACAUAGCGUUUCCAAAUUACAAAGCUAUCUACAUAUUAACGUGAGAAAUUUUUAGUGAUCGGCGCUUCUGAAUAUAUAUUAAAAAGCUAUGAAUUGGUGAAGCGGGCUAAAAAAUUUCAAGUCCCGCGUGACUUACAUAAAAAAUAGAAAACUGUUUAAGAACAAAAGAAAUUAUGUUCUUCUUUUAUCUUCUGUUCUUUCAUUCUCGCUCUCUAGAUCUAGGGUUCCAAACUGACCACCUAACGCAGAUACAGAAGAGGGAAGAGAGAAGAGAGAAGAGAAAAGAGUGAAGAGAGAGGAGAUAAGAGAUAAGAGAGAAGAUUUUAAUCUUCGUCGAAGUCCCAUGCGAGCUUUUGGUUUCUCCCUUCGUUGAGCUCUAUGCGGUUACAUCGGACCAAGAGAAAGCCACCAGAGAAAUUCUCCGAUCCAGAACCUGAGUCGCUGAUUCAAAACUGAAAACCCUAGCCGGUACAGAUCCGUUCGAGGUACAUAUUCCAAUUGGCCUUCGUGGAGAGAGUUAAAGAGGAUUUCCAUGGUGGUGGAAAGGCUACCACUGUACACCCAACAACUUGAACAAAGAGUUUGGAUACUUUUGGCUCUCUACCAUCAAUCUCAGGAGUCAUAUAUCAAUGUCAAUCUCAGAAUUCUACACUUAAAAUGUCUACUUUUGAUGGUUUUAUUUCUUGAUAUCCUACUGUUUACUCGCAAGUAUGUACAUGAAAAUAAGCUUCUUCAUCUUCUUUAGAACUUUAUUGCAGAAAACUAAAUCUUGUUUAGUCAUUCAUUGAGAUAUUUGGUACUUCGUGUGUCUUGUUGUGGUGAUGUUUGGGGGAGAAAGAACUAACCAUUCCUCUUACUACAUUUGUGUGAUGUUCUGUUUCCGCUACCUGACUGAAGUUUCUUAUUGUUUUCUUGAAGCAAACCAGGGGAAGAAAAGUCUGGAGGAAGCUGUUCAUGGAUCUUAGUGACUCUGAAUGCUGAGAAGACGUGGCUGCUUUGAGAUUUGAGAGGAAUGCGGUGAAAUCAUUUUCAGUCUUUUGCUCCACCAACAGCCACAGCAAGAAGCAGAUGAUGGAGUGAUGUGGAGGAGAUCACACGAGUUGUCAUGAUUAUGAAGAAGGAGGACAUAUGAGACAGAGAGAAUACAUAUGCGGUUGAUGAAUUUUGUGAUGUUGCAGGAAUUGAUGAAGCAGUUGACAAACUUCAAGAGGUGGUGUUUUCUAUUUGAAUUGGGAUGUACUACUUGGUGAAGCUCGGAGGCGAUGUGGAGGAGUUCGGUAAAGCUCGGAGGCGCGAAGGUUCAAUCACCGAAGACACGUGAUGGAAUCACCACUAAUGGCAAAUCUUAACAUCACAGCAUAUAGUUACAGAGAUCAUGAUGCUUUGGAAAGUCUUAAUUGCUUUGUUCUUUAUCUAAACCAGAAAAUGGUGAUCAUGAUUACGUGGAGUAUAACAACUCUUCCACAACGAGUCCUUGUCAGGAUCACUCUCCAUGGCUCUCUGCUUAACAUCAUUUUCCCUUUAUAAGUCUGGUGCGAGAAGCUUGACGACAGAGGAGGCAAGACGUUGUGCUGUGGAGAUGCGAGUCGUAGUGUGGUGCGGCACUAGGAGAUAGAACUUUAAGUUCAGAUAUUUUAGUUGUAGCUUUAACUUUUUCAAAAAUUUGGUUUAGUUUGAUUUUAGUUUAAUACACUAGUCAUAUAACCAAUUUUAAUAUACAAAUUUUUUAAAUA